CACUAUAGAUGAGCGUGCGUCGGAUUAGCUAGUUGGGUGGGGUAAAGGCCUACCAAGGCGACGAUCCGUAGCUGGUCUGAGAGGAUGAUCAGCCACACUGGAACUGAGACACGGUCCAG
rnacentral:rRNA from 1 species